rnacentral:rRNA from 1 species
CCUACGGGAGGCAGCAGUGGGGAAUAUUGCACAAUGGGGGAAACCCUGAUGCAGCGAUGCCGCGUGGAGGAAGAAGGUUUUCGGAUUGUAAACCUCUUUUGUCGGGGAGCAAGGCCCGCCACGUGUGGCGGGAAGGAGAGUACCCGAAGAAAAAGCAUCGGCUAACUCCGUGCCAGCAGCCGCGGUAAUACGGAGGAUGCGAGCGUUAUCCGGAUUUAUUGGGUUUAAAGGGUGCGUAGGCGGAAGGUUAAGUCAGCGGUCAAAUGUCGGUGCUCAACACCGGCCUGCCGUUGAAACUGGUCUUCGUGAGUGAGCGAGAAGUAUGCGGAAUGCGUGGUGUAGCGGUGAAAUGCAUAGAUAUCACGCAGAACUCCGAUUGCGAAGGCAGCAUACCGGCGCUCAACUGACGCUGAGGCACGAAAGCGUGGGGAUCGAACAGGAUUAGAUACCCUUGUAGUC